ACAAUAUGUAUGUUAUUAUGCUCACACUUGUGUUUUCUAUUUAAAAUCCUGCAGUUGUAACUUGUAAUGGAAACCCUGGCUGUUAAUAUACCGCUGCAGCAUGUUGUUAUCCUUGUUUAUGUUCUGGUGCAUGAUAUUGCAUGGUUUGAAUUGAUACUUAAAAAAAAAAAGUAUCAAACUCAUGGAAUGGCAUCUCAGUAAAUCUUUUGACCAC
rnacentral:lncRNA from 1 species